rnacentral:rRNA from 1 species
UACGUAGGGGCAAGCGUUGUCCGGAAUCAUUGGGCGUAAAGCGAGCGUAGGCGGCCCGAUAAGUCUGCUGUAAAAGUCAACGGCUCAACCGUUGAAAGCCGGUGGAUACUGUCGGGCUAGAGUUCGGAAGAGGCAAGUGGAAUUCCUGGUGUAGCGGUGGAAUGCGCAGAUAUCAGGAGGAACACCUAUAGCGAAGGCAGCUUGCUGGGACGAUACUGACGCUAAGGCUCGAAAGCGUGGGGAGCGAACAGG